AUAUUACUCAAAACUGAGAAUGUCUACAAUGAGUUAUGAGAACGACACCGUUUUGAUUCCAAGAACCGAUAUCGUGGUUGUUCGGGCAUGUUCGCAUUGCCACAGAACUAUAUACGCAUUUACAAACUACAUAUUUUCCAGCUCUUCGCGCGCAGCAGUGUGGACGCGGCGUAAGAUCCGAACGUCCUUCGAGGCGUUCUCGUCAAGCGGACGACUAUAACGAGCGGUCUUUUCUUCUUUUCUUCUUUUACUUUUUUUUUUUCCUUCUUUUUCUUCUUCUUUUCAUAGACACGUGUCAUGCGCGGUACACACGUAGCGUGGAUCUUCGAGUGUAUGCAGUCACGCGCGCAAGAAACUAUGUGCAGUCACGUGUGAGAGUGGAAUAGCGAAAACGUGAUGCGAUUAUACAUUCUUCCUACGUCGUCAUUUCUCACUUGACGUCGCCCGAUUUCAGCCGGCUCUACAAACUAUGUCUGUAUGUACGUUACUUGCAUCGGAUCACGAGAUCGAUGACGGAGGGGAUCGUUCGACCGCAAGUGCAGCAGUUAAUGUACACCAGCCUUGAACUAUGAGUAUUUUUCAAUUGAUUCAGAGUGUUUUUAAUUUUGAAAUUUGCUUUACGUAAAUUGACCUUACGUAACUAUAAACAGGUUUUCCUUUUGAUUCAGUUUUACGAGGUAACUAGUGAUUUAGAUCCAAAACUAGAACGUUAAUCAUCCAUAAUUAGCAGAUUGCGGAUGUCUACAUGUUUUUCAGGAAAUCUUGUGUUCCAAAAUACAUACAGCUAUAAAAAUAUAAAGUUGCAUAUAUGUACAUCUGCAGUUUAGCAAUCAAAAUUCCAUUUAUUUAUAAGAGAAGAAGAUCAGUCAUUUAUAAGAGAAGUCAGUCGAAGGAGUGUAGCUAAUUACCUCAAUAUUAAAACAAAAACAAUUUUUAGAAUCUCUAAUUUUAAUGAAUGGAUUGAUGCUAAAUUUGAAAUUUGAUCUC